rnacentral:rRNA from 1 species
GAUGAACGCUAGCUACAGGCUUAACACAUGCAAGUCGAGGGGAAACGACAUCGAAAGCUUGCUUUUGAUGGGCGUCGACCGGCGCACGGGUGAGUAACGCGUAUCCAACCUGCCCAUCACUUGGGAAUAACCUUGCGAAAGUAAGACUAGUACCCAAUGACAUCCCACGAAGACAUCUGAAUGGGAUUAAAGAUUUAUCGGUGAUGGAUGGGGAUGCGUCUGAUUAGCUUGUUGGCGGGGUAACGGCCCACCAAGGCAACGAUCAGUAGGGGUUCUGAGAGGAAGGUCCCCCACAUUGGAACUGAGACACGGUCCAAACUCCUACGGGAGGCAGCAGUGAGGAAUAUUGGUCAAUGGGCGAGAGCCUGAACCAGCCAAGUAGCGUGCAGGAUGACGGCCCUAUGGGUUGUAAACUGCUUUUAUAAGGGAAUAAAGUGGGUCUCGUGAGACUUUUUGCAUGUACCUGAUGAAUAAGGACCGGCUAAUUCCGUG